CCUACGGGGGGCAGCAGUGGGGAAUAUUGGACAAUGGGGGGAACCCUGAUCCAGCCAUGCCGCGUGUGUGAUGAAGGCCCUCGGGUUGUAAAGCACUUUCAGUGAGGAAGAACGCCUGGUGGUUAAUACCCAUCAGGAAAGACAUCACUCACAGAAGAAGCACCGGCUAACUCCGUGCCAGCAGCCGCGGUAAUACGGAGGGUGCGAGCGUUAAUCGGAAUUACUGGGCGUAAAGCGCGCGUAGGUGGCUUGAUAAGCCGGUUGUGAAAGCCCCGGGCUCAACCUGGGAACGGCAUCCGGAACUGUCAAGCUAGAGUGCAGGAGAGGAAGGUAGAAUUCCCGGUGUAGCGGUGAAAUGCGUAGAGAUCGGGAGGAAUACCAGUGGCGAAGGCGGCCUUCUGGACUGACACUGACACUGAGGUGCGAAAGCGUGGGUAGCAAACAGGAUUAGAUACCCCAGUAGUC
rnacentral:rRNA from 1 species